GACAGAGGGGGGCAAGCGUUGCUCGGAAUUACUGGGCGUAAAGGGCGCGUAGGCGGGAUGGCAAGUCGGUCGUGAAAUCCCUCGGCUCAACCGAGGAACGUCGAUCGAUACUGCUGUUCUUGAGGAUUGCAGAGGAGACUGGAAUUCCCGGUGUAGCGGUGAAAUGUGUAGAGAUCGGGAGGAACACCGGUGGCGAAGGCGGGUCUCUGGGCAAUUCCUGACGCUGAGGCGCGAAAGCGUGGGGAGCAAACAGG
rnacentral:rRNA from 1 species